rnacentral:rRNA from 1 species
ACCGGCGGCUCGAGUGGUGGCCACUAUUACUGGGCUUAAAGCGUUCGUAGCUGGCUUGUUAAGUCUCUGGGGAAUCUUUCGGGUCCACCGGGAAGCGGCCCAAGGGAUACUGGCAGGCUAGGGACCGGAAGAGGUGAGAGGUACUCCAGGGGUAGGAGUGAAAUCCUGUAAUCCUUGGGGGACCACCUGUGGCGAAGGCGUCUCACCAGGACGGCUCCGACAGUGAGGAACGAAAGCUGGGGGAGCAAACCG